UACGUAGGUGGCAAGCGUUGUCCGGAAUUAUUGGGCGUAAAGCGCGCGCAGGCGGUCCUUUAAGUCUGAUGUGAAAUCCCACGGCUCAACCGUGGAAGGUCAUUGGAAACUGGGGGACUUGAGUACAGAAGAGGAAAGCGGAAUUCCAAGUGUAGCGGUGAAAUGCGUAGAGAUUUGGAGGAACACCAGUGGCGAAGGCGGCUUUCUGGUCUGUAACUGACGCUGAGGCGCGACAGCGUGGGGAGCAAACAGGG
rnacentral:rRNA from 1 species